AUUGAACGCUGGCGGCAUGCCUUACACAUGCAAGUUGAACGGCAGCACGGGUGCUUGCACCUGGUGGCGAGUGGCGAACGGGUGAGUAAUACAUCGGAACAUGUCCUGUAGUGGGGGAUAGCCCGGCGAAAGCCGGAUUAAUACCGCAUACGAUCUACGGAUGAAAGCGGGGGACCUUCGGGCCUCGCGCUAUAGGGUUGGCCGAUAGCUGAUUAGCUAGUUGGUGGGGUAAAGGCCUACCAAGGCGACGAUCAGUAGCUGGUCUGAGAGGACGACCAGCCACACUGGGACUGAGACACGGCCCAGACUCCUACGGGAGGCAGCAGUGGGGAAUUUUGGACAAUGGGCGAAAGCCUGAUCCAGCAAUGCCGCGUGUGUGAAGAAGGCCUUCGGGUUGUAAAGCACUUUUGUCCGGAAAGAAAUCCUUGGCUCUAAUACAGUCGGGGGAUGACGGUACCGGAAGAAUAAGCACCGGCUAACUACGUG
rnacentral:rRNA from 1 species